UUUAAAUGAAUGUAAUGCGGUAGCUGAGGAAAUGGAACUGUAACCAAAUGCAAGAGCAAUACAUAAUUCAAAGAAGCUGAACUAGAGGAUGGAUGCCCAACUACCCUGAGAGGAUGGAUGCAUGGACUGACUACUUAUUCAUAUUACUGCCUUACAGGUAUGUGUUUCUCUUGGUUACCUUGUGCCUCUCUGCUGCACCUCCAUACACCUGUGCUGAGCUCACUGGAAUCACAGCUCUAUAUGUCACAGCCUGAAGCGGCCGACAGCACUGUGUCGCAGUGUGCACUGGGUAAGGCUUCUCUAUCACGAUGUCUUUAACUUUGACAUAUUACUGAGAAAGGGUGGUUCCUAAAUAGCUGCAGGUGGAUCAUGACAAGUAAUUACUGUGUGACCUCAGUAAUGAUGGACUGUCUCUUACCAUUCAAGUCAGCAUCAGCAGAUUUCAGUACACGCCUCAGCCUCUGGCCUGACUGGGCCUCUGUGUGUGCAAAAGCCACUCCAAAAACCAGUUUGAACCAGUUAAAACUGAAACAUCCCGUUAAAUCCCAUGGCCAAGUCGUUUUCCUCAAAUCAAGCUUCUGUAGAGAGUUUGGCUUGCGAUUUUUACAAAAAUUCCCAAGUGUCCGUUUGAUGAAAUAAUAUUUCGCUUUCAUUGCAUAAUCUGAACUAUGACAUAAGAUGAUUUAGCUUAUUCAUGGAGGAAUUCGAAGAAUGGACCUAUCCUUCUGACACACCUUUAAUGCUUUCCCUUUAAUAAUAAGCACAGCAAAUCACAGUGAGAUCACUGCUAAUGUUACAGAGGUGUGUAUCAAGUAACACGAUGUGAACAGGCCAACAUGCAAAUGCAACCCAAGCCAUCUCUGCCAUUUUUCUUCACUGGAAGUUGUCUUUGCAUGUAUCAGAGCUUUCACCAUUUUGUGAGUCAAGUGUGUUUAUUUCAUUCACUCAUUGUUUGUUUAUUUGUUUAUGCAUUUGUUUGUUUCUUUCUUUUUAAGUUAUGUUCUGUAUUUUCAUCACCCCCUCUCCUGCUACAUGAUGUCGCAGACACUUUUAUCCAAAGCAACGUAUAAUUAAAGACGGCUUGGGGUUAGCAUACAGGGUCAAAUUUCAUCCAACACCCGUGGAGCACUUGGGGUCAAGGGCCUUGCUCAAGGGUUCAGCGGUGAUAGGAUUACUCAGAGGACCUGAACCCACAACCUCCCAGAGAUGGGCACAGAUCCCCAACCUACUGAACACCACCCCACCGUCCUUCCAACGCACAACAAACUUGUCAUUGUGGCAUUGUGCCCAGGCCAACAUUCACAUAUGUGGCUCAUCAGGUUCGGAUGCUUCUCCAGAGAUCAGAAGGUUCAAAUCCUGUGGUUGGCAGGGUGAUCUCAGUGCUGGGCCCUCCUCCCCAGUCACUCCUUUCUCAGUUCUAUGCCAUUUUGGAGAAAACCAUCUGCUAAAUAAAUAAAAUCCAUGUAUGUAUUGUCUCAUAGAAUUCCUGUUCCACAGGCGUCAGCAUUUUAAUAACAUUCUCUCACAUCCAAGAAGCAACUGGAUCUGAGAAUUCUGGCAGGUUGUGAACAUAAUGAUUGUGUGUAUUGAUGUGUGUAUUGCUGACCCUAUGUCCAAAAUGGGAUCAACCCAGAUCACCACCAAGCAACAACAAAAGAGCAAAUCAGGAGAGUGUAGCCAUAAUCCUGGUCUCUACUCAAGCAGCUGUCUGGGCCUUUGUGCUGCACGUCAAAUAAAAACUUGACAUGGGCCCUACUAAUCUCUGUUUUCAUAAGAGGUGAGUCCCCUUUUAGCUAAGGGAUCAUCACCUCUGGAAGAUGCUGAAAUGAUAAGCAAUCUGCUGCUGCAGUGUUUCCCAAUGCAGUCCUCAAGGACCCAUAAACAGUCAACAGUUUUGCUCCCUCCCAGCUCUCUAAAUGUGGACUGCCAGGCAAGGAGCUCAGAGGGAGCAAAAACAUAGACGACUGUGGUUCCCUGAGGACCGGGUUGUGGAACACUGUGCUACUGGAAGAGUAAUUGUCAUGCGUUUUGUGCUUGUCGGGAACUUUUAUCUUUUUUCCCUCAAAUGUGAGGUUUUGUAAGAAGGAACCAAACCAGGCGUGAGGAAGGAUCAGAAUGUCAUGUAUGUGUUCAAGGUGUUCACUAUCGCGUCAGAUUCCCUAUGUGUUUAGAGCCACCGCAAUAGCAACAGACCAUGAAAGCCGACCUCAACGGUUUUAAUUUUUGUUCUUUUCCCCUAAGGGCAUUAAAAGGACAUGUUGCCAAAAAUUUAAGCUAAUUCACAUAACCGAAGGUUCGAAAAUGUUCUGUAAUCAAUGUCAAGAUUGGACCUUUCCAAGAUCAGCAUUAGACACCAUCGAUAUGAAAAAUUCAGAAGAAGUUUUCACAGGCUUCAGACUGGGCCUGAGCCAGUGACCGUACUCUGACCUUACAUCUGGAGCAAGAGUCCAGCCAAAGAUAACUGGAAGGGCUCUCAGUCCCCCUGCCUUUUACCCUCCUGCAGGCCAAGCAGCGUCGCCUCAGCCGGCUGCCAAAUAGCCUCACUCUCUACUGCCGAUGCCCGUCACACACAGUCAAGAAGCUGGGGGUGACUGGCCCCCUUUGCCAGCACACAUGAGCCAUGUAGCUUCGCCCCCCAUGCCCUAACACAGCCUAACCACAGACAGGUAGUCCUGUCACCUUAAAUGCCCCAUCUCCCUGCUCACAGUUUCUGGAACUAGCCCAUCUACUUUCCUAUUAAAACAUGAAUACCUACUUAAAAAUGUGAAUCUACCUUUCCUUGCUUCUUCUUAGCAAACUCCAAAUACCUCCAAAUAACUAUAUAUCAUUAGCUGUAUAUAAACCAGCACUGCAUAACUGGCGAAUUUGAUCACUUUGGCCCAGCUGUUUGAUUUUCAUGCUGUUUGUUUUUAUACAUUAAAUGAGAUGGAAAGUGUACAUGGGCAACAUUUUAUUGGUUUCUCGAUGUUCUUAAAAACAGGAUCCUGUCCAUUGUUUUACAUCUGCAAAAAUGUUGUAAGGAAAACAAGCAAAGAGCACAUUGCAGCAGUAAUUCUGGAGGAAAUAGCAGCCCCAUCAAGGGUGCAUACUCACAUACACAGUCACCUACUUCGGGUAAUUCAGGCUAACCAGCCUAAAUGGAUGUUUUUCACUUUAGCAGGAAAUGAAAGUAAAGGAAGUCUUUAUGGACAUGGAGAGAACAUGCAAAAUCCACAACUAAAAUCUAAAUGCUAAAUACUAAGACAGAAGUGUAACAAUACAGUUCAUAAUUAUAAAUUACUUAAAGGGUUAAUUACAAUAUGAACAGUAAUAAAAUAUAUAACAAUAAUUUAUAUUGUUAUUUACUCUGUAAGAACAGUAGCAAUUCAUACUGAAUCAAUGUUGUGCAUUUAGCAUAGAUUUUUCUUGUAAAUUUAGUUUCACGCAUUUGGCAGUGUUUAAGAAUAGUGUUGAUGAUGUAUAGGAUUCUAUGGGAUUUUAUAGGCACAUUACAUCUGCCAAAGAUAUGAAUAGAAAGAACGGAAAAUCCGUUACCAUCAAAGGGAAAAAAGUUGGUCUGAUGAAAUACAUAAAGGAUCUGAGGUUGAACUGUUACUUUUUUCUUGAUUAAUUGCAAUGGCUCUUGUGUUUAAUGCCAGCAUCUUUCUCAGGAAAACUAUUUAUCUUCACCACAGUUGCAUUUACAAGAAUACAGAUCAAGUGAUAUUCAGUUCAGACUGUAUGAGAAAUUGUUUUCUGGAGUAGCCUCAACAUUAGCAGUGAACCAAAGCGGCAAGGGCAUCAUUUGGACUGUAAUUACUAAUUACUGUCAUUACACAUUUGUUUUAUGAGCAGGACUCGUCCUUGAUAACAUACUUAGCCUGUUUUUGGGGCCGCCUGUGAUGGACUGGCAUCGUUUCCAGGAUGCCCCCCCCCCGUACUGCCUAGAAUAGAAUCCAUACCCAACCCCUGUAAUCCUGGCCAGGACAAGUAGUUAGAAGAUAGGUGAAUAGAUGGGUGGAUGGAUGGAACACACUGAAGAACAUUAUGAGAUCGGUGUAAACAGGCCAAGAGUUUAGAAAUUCCAGGAGAAAAAUGACUUCGAGUGACAAACUGAAAAACUAGACAUUAAAAUACAAUCACAUGGCAAUGCAUUGGUUCGGGCACACGAAAACUUAAUGGAAGGUUAUUUCAAAAUGAAUUGAUUCACAUAUUAAUUAAUGAUUCACAUAAAAAUGUGAAAGCAAUUGUUAGUGAUUUGGUCAAUGUACCCCCAAAACCAUAUGAACAUAGUCUGUCGUUUCAACACCAAACCACACAUUUGCAUGAGACAAAUGAGGUUUGAGUGAGAUGUAUAGUUAAGGAUUAAACUCAGAAAUAUGGCCAGAUUUGCAUUUACAUCCAUCCAUCCAUCUUUAAACUUCUUAUCCUGAACAUGGUAACAUCAGACCAGGAGUCUCUCCCAGGGAAGCAGAGGGCAUGAAGCUGUGGUACAGCCCGGACGGGAUGCCAGAACACUCCACAGGCAACUUAGAGACACUAAGUCAUCUCACUGCCUGUCCUUGUACUGUAGCAGGGGCCCAUAGGAGUUCAGGCCAUGCACGCUCCAGAUACACAUACAGCAGAGGCGGGAUUUGAACCCACAACAGUGGACAUUCGAGGCAAUAGUGCUACCCAGUUGAGACACCAUGCCAUGCACAACUACGUCAAGUAGUAUUUUGUGUUAAUUGUAUUGUGUGUCA